UACGUAGGGUGCAAGCGUUAUCCGGAAUUAUUGGGCGUAAAGAGCUCGUAGGCGGUUUGUCGCGUCUGCUGUGAAAACUGGAGGCUCAACCUCCAGCCUGCAGUGGGUACGGGCAGACUAGAGUGCGGUAGGGGAGAUUGGAAUUCCCGGUGUAGCGGUGAAAUGCGCAGAUAUCGGGAGGAACACCGGUGGCGAAGGCGGUUCUCUGGGCCAUAACUGACGCUGAGGAGCGAAAGCGUGGGGAGCGAACAGG
rnacentral:rRNA from 1 species